UGCUUUAGAGAUAAAGCGGAGGUAUUCGGGGAGGACAGGUGGUGCAUGGUUGUCGUCAGCUCGUGUCGUGAGAUGUGGUUAAGUCCCGCAACGAGCGCAACCCUAUUGCUAGUUACCAUCAUUAAGUUGGGGACUCUAGCGAGACUGCCAGUGAUAAACUGGAGGAAGGUGGGGAUGACGUCAAAUCAUCAUGCCCCUUAUGACCUGGGCUACAAACGUGAUACAAUGGCUGGAACAAAGGGAUGCGAAGCAGUGAUGUGGAGCGAAACCCAUAAAAACAGUCUCAGUUCGGAUUGAAGUCUGCAACUCGACUUCAUGAAGUCGGAAUCGCUAGUAAUCGCGGAUCAGAACGCCGCGGUGAAUACGUUCUCGGGGUUU
rnacentral:rRNA from 1 species